GCCAGUGUGGCUCAGUGGAUAGAGCGUUGGUCUGUAGACCAACGGGUCCCAAGUUCGAUUCCGGUCAAGGGCA
rfam:Myotis brandtii contig253577, whole genome shotgun sequence.